ACAGCUGCCCGCCAAUUAUAGAGAAGAUCAUGUGUCGAACCUUGCCGACACGCACCAUGCAACUUCCGACUUCGCCACUUCUUUGAUUCCUUCACCUGCAGGAUGUCGGCGAACCUUAUUUCCUGCAAGCGGGGUGUCGCGCAGGCUAUGAAGCCUGUGGUUAUCGCCCCCGUGUCGCUGCGGUUGGCGGGUCGCAGAGCUCCGCGCAUUGUAUGCGAAGCUACCGCUGCCUCACCUGCGCCAGUUGCGCCAAAGGCCGAGACAACUCCCGCUGCUGCCCCGGUAGGUUGCGGGCCUCUGUAUAUUGCGGCUGACUAUAACGCAG
rnacentral:lncRNA from 1 species